GCGUUGGUGUCCUCGUGGGCCAAUAAGGAGACCACACCUCGGCCCUGUGCAGAUGGCUCAGCCACAGCUGGGAUAGGUUUUGAAGGCGGCGCUGAGGACAGGUGAAUGUCAACAGUGGGGAGAGUGCCUCGAGGGGGCUCGAGGGACACAGGAAGUCCGUGAUGCGUCUCAGACCUCCCAAAGGAACUGCGGACAGUGGAGGAAAAAAAUCCCACGAUGGCAUACACAUCCUGUGCUUCUGCAUACCUGAAAUGCUUACCUGAC
rnacentral:lncRNA from 1 species